AUGCAUCAAAAGUCUCAUCUUUCCCUCUUUGUUCAUCGACCGUCACUCUCUAAACCUCUUAGAACAACUCUCUCUCUUCUUCUUCAUCUUCCCGCCUCUCUCUGAGAACAACAACGAGCAAGAUGGUUUUCUUCAUCUUCCCGCCUCUCUCAUCUUCUUAGAGAGGCUCUUUGUUUUAAAGUUCUUCCCUCCCUGCCAAAACUUAUUUAGCCCUUUAUUUUUUUAAAUUUUUUAUUUGUCUAAUAUACAUAAAUUUCUGAUCUUGCAGGUGAAAUAUUACAAAUUUCCUCCAACACUUUUAUUAGAUUUUCAUCAAAACACAUUUUGUCUUGCCUAUGCCUUAUUCACAUAUCUUGCUCCAAGAAGAUUGUCACCCUGCUUCAUUGCUAUUCUAUAAAUGGUUAUAUGUAGGUUAGACAAAAUAAGUUAGAGCGAGACUAAUUGGCAGUGGAGUGAGAGGAGUCUUAACAUGGGAAAGAACAAGUAUAGAAGACAUGUUAAAGAUUUGUCAAUUGACAGAGCAACUUUAAUUUAACUAGUGAACUCUACCACAAAUCCUUGGAAGAUGCUGCUAAGAUA